rnacentral:rRNA from 1 species
UACGUAGGGUGCUAGCGUUGUCCGGAUUUAUUGGGCGUAAAGGGCUCGUAGGCGGCGUGUCGCGUCGGGAGUGAAAGCCCGCUGCUUAACGGCGGGUUGGCUUCCGGUACGGGCAUCGCUGGAGUGCGGCAGGGGAGACUGGAAUUCCUGGUGUAGCGGUGGAAUGCGUAGAGAUCCGGAAGAACACCGGUGGCGAAGGCGGUCUGCUGGGCCAAGACUGACGCUGAGGCGCGACAGCGUGGGGAGCAAACAGG